rnacentral:rRNA from 1 species
UACGAAGGGGGGCUAGCGUUGCUCGGAAUCACUGGGCGUAAAAGCGCACGUAGGCGGAUCUUUAAGUCAGGGGGUGAAAUCCCAAGGCUCAACCUUGGAACUGCCUUUGAUACUGGGGGAUCUCGAGUCCGGAAGAGGUUGGUGGAACUGCGAGUGUAGAGGUGAAAUUCGUAGAUAUUCGCAAGAACACCAGUGGCGAAGGCGGCCAACUGGUCCGGUACUGACGCUGAGGUGCGAAAGCGUGGGGGAGCAAACAGG